rnacentral:rRNA from 1 species
GACGAACGCUGGCGGCGUGCUUAACACAUGCAAGUCGAACGAAGAGCGAUGGAAGCUUGCUUCUAUCAAUCUUAGUGGCGAACGGGUGAGUAACGCGUAAUCAACCUGCCCUUCAGAGGGGGACAACAGUUGGAAACGACUGCUAAUACCGCAUACGAUCUAACCUCGGCAUCGAGGAUAGAUGAAAGGUGGCCUCUAUUUAUAAGCUAUCACUGAAGGAGGGGAUUGCGUCUGAUUAGCUAGUUGGAGGGGUAACGGCCCACCAAGGCGAUGAUCAGUAGCCGGUCUGAGAGGAUGAACGGCCACAUUGGGACUGAGACACGGCCCAGACUCCUACGGGAGGCAGCAGUGGGGAAUCUUCCGCAAUGGACGAAAGUCUGACGGAGCAACGCCGCGUGAGUGAUGACGGCCUUCGGGUUGUAAAGCUCUGUUAAUCGGGACGAAAGGCCUUCUUGCGAAUAGUUAGAAGGAUUGACGGUACCGGAAUAGAAAGCCACGGCUAACUACGUGCCAGCAGCUGCGGUAAUACGUAGGUGGCAAGCGUUGUCCGGAAUUAUUGGGCGUAAAGCGCGCGCAGGG